CAAUAAGCGGAGGAAAAGAAACCAACAGGGAUUGCCCUAGUAACGGCGAGUGAAGCGGCAACAGCUCAAAUUUGAAAUCUGGCGCAAGCCCGAGUUGUAAUUUGUAGAGGAUGCUUCUGGGCAGCGGCCGGUCUAAGUUCCUUGGAACAGGACGUCAUAGAGGGUGAGAAUCCCGUAUGUGACUGGCGCGCACCCUCCACGUAGCUCCUUCGACGAGUCGAGUUGUUUGGGAAUGCAGCUCUAAAUGGGAGGUAAAUUUCUUCUAAAGCUAAAUACCGGCCAGAGACCGAUAGCGCACAAGUAGAGUGAUCGAAAGAUGAAAAGCACUUUGGAAAGAGAGUUAAAAAGCACGUGAAAUUGUUGAAAGGGAAGCGCCUACAACCAGACUUCGCGGCAGUGUUCCGCCGGUCUUCUGACCGGUCCACUCUCUGUCGCGAGGCCAUCAUCGUCUGGGCCCGUCGGAUAAGACCUUGGGAAUGUAGCUCACCUUCGGGGGAGUGUUAUAGCCCAUGGUGAUGCGACGCGGCCCGGGCGAGGUCCGCGCUUCGGCAAGGAUGAUGGCGUAAUGGUUGUCGGCGGCCCGUCUUGAA
rnacentral:rRNA from 1 species